GUGCCACUUCGGCAGCAUAUAUACUAAAAUUGGAACGAUACAGAGAAGAUUAGCAUGGUCCCUGUGCAAGAAUGACACAGAAAUUCAUGAAGCAGUCCAUAUUGUG
ensembl:snRNA U6 U6 spliceosomal RNA